ACGGUUCGAUAUGACAUGACAUUAUAUGUAUUUAGAUCUAUAAUUUAAUUUAGAUUAGAUCUAAUAUAUGAUAUUUAGAUCUAAAAUUAGUUGUAGAUCUGAUUGCAUAAAUCGAUAUAAGGUUAUCCUACUGUAAGGUUUAUCCCUUAAAGUACAAAGGUUGUCCUAGUUUGUGCUGAUACUUAUGGAAUCUGAUUUUAAAUUGAAAAAUAUAAAAUUUAUUUAUGAUAAUUAUUAUCUGAUUUUGAUAUGAUCAAAAUAUAAUAAUCAAAUCUUAAAUAAUAUAAAUUAGAUCUAAAUUAUUUAGAUUAGAUGAUCUGAGUAGUGAAGUAAUC
rnacentral:lncRNA from 1 species